rnacentral:rRNA from 1 species
AUACGGAGGGUGCAAGCGCUAUCCGGAUUCACUGGGUUUAAAGGGUGCGUAGGUGGGCAGGUAGUCAGUGGUGAAAUCUCCGGGCUCAACCCGGAAACUGCCAUUGAUACUAUCUGUCUUGAAUACCCUGGAGGUGAGCGGAAUAUGUCAUGUAGCGGUGAAAUGCUUAGAUAUGACAUAGAACACCCAUUGCGAAGGCAGCUCACUACGAGAAUAUUGACACUGAGGCACGAAAGCGUGGGGAUCAAACAG